rnacentral:rRNA from 1 species
GGCGAACGGGUGAGUAACACGUGAGUAACCUGCCCUUGACUUUGAGAUAACUUCAGGAAACUGGGGCUAAUACCGGAUAGGAGCUCCUGCUGCAUGGUGGGGGUUGGAAAGUUUCGGCGGUUGGGGAUGGACUCGCGGCUUAUCAGCUUGUUGGUGGGGUAGUGGCUUACCAAGGCUUUGACGGGUAGCCGGCCUGAGAGGGUGACCGGCCACAUUGGGACUGAGAUACGGCCCAG